CAGCAGCCGCGGUAAUACGUAUGUCGCAAGCGUUAUCCGGAAUUAUUGGGCAUAAAGCGCGUCUAGGCGGUUUACUAAGUCUGAUGUGAAAAUGCGGGGCUCAACUCCGUAUUGCGUUGGAAACUGGUAGACUAGAGUAUUGGAGAGGUAGGCGGAACUACAAGUGUAGAGGUGAAAUUCGUAGAUAUUUGUAGGAAUGCCAAUGACGAAGGUAGCUUACUGGACAAAUACUGACGCUGAAGCGCGAAAGCUAGGGGAGCAAACAGGAUUAGAUACCCUGGUAGUCCUAGCUGUAAACGAUGAUCACUGGGUGUGGGGGGUCGAACCUCUGUGCCGAAGUUAAUGCGAUAAGUGAUCCGCCUGGGGAGUACGGCCGCAAGGCUGAAACUCAAAGGAAUUGACGGGGACCCGCACAAGCGGUGGAGCAUGUGGUUUAAUUCGACGCAACGCGAGGAACCUUACCAGUUCUUGACAUCCUACAAACUUAGCAGAGAUGCUUUGGUGCCCUUUCGGGGGAAUGUAGUGACAGGAGGUGCAUGGCC
rnacentral:rRNA from 1 species